CUAGAAGUACCAGUCAGGUAAGAAAAUCUAAAGACUUCUUUGUCUUAAGUCAAAGUCUUUAAUUUCUGUAAGUGUUUUUAGUAUGCUUUUAGUGUUGUUUUGCAGACGAGUUUAACUGGUAUAUUGCGCCGUUAAUAGAUUAUUUCGUGCAGUUGGGAGAUAUGAAAGCGCAUAUGGACUGUAGUGUAUUUGUAUGUGCGCUUGUGGAACAGAGGAUGCGGCGAAUUAUUAAAAUUCAAAGUGCUUUUCCGUCUUAUUAAUGAUACAUAGGCAGUUAAAUAAAACCUUCCUGUGCUCUUUCUAGGCUACUCAAGUCCCAGUGAAAUUAGUGUAAGCUAAAGCGCUAAAGCACGAAAGCAAGUACAAAUAAUGCCACAUUCGACUUCUGCAUAUAUUUUAACGUUCAUCGCUGCCUAAUUUUGGCGAAAUGAAAGAAUGUCACAACUUUACUGACGGAGAAAAAAAGUUUUGGCCAAGAGGAAUGCACGCAGUUGUAAAUGUGAACUGGUGGAUAGUUAAGAAGUUGAUGUGUCUUCUAGAAAUUUAAACAAAUUUGUGCAGAAUAUGAGACAGACAGAUUAAUCAUAGGUCCAUUAGUGUCAACUGUCUUUGCCAAUGGGUGGAUCCACACUGCAGAACUUAUGAAGAUGAUUGCAAACCGAAGAAGGGUCCUUGGACAAAGCAUUAAACCCUCUUGGUUCCCACUACACAGACUAAUGACAUUGAAGUACCCAAAUGAAGACACUAGUAUAUGGAUACAGACGUUGGCAGCACUCAGGAGGUGAUCCAGAGGAAUCAUGGGAAUCUAUGUCAUACGAUUUGAAGGUGCAGACAUUGAAGACAGCCCAGCAGAGUUGGAGUGUUGGACCUUAGCAGUAAACCCUAUGAACAAACAUGUUGCUGGGACUGAUAUAUGGACUAAACUUGAACUCCUGAAAUCAGGCACACAUUUGGAGUACUGCAGAAGUUAUUUCUGCAGCCAGUUCCUGUUCCUGGAUUAAGGUUUGAUUGGUUACCUUUAUAUGCCAAUUAGAAAAUGACAGUAGUUUAAUAUUUCUGUAGUUUUGUAAUGUGGUUGUAACUGUAAUUGUUGCUCUUGUUUAACAAAUACACUUGACCAUUUGUGACAUCUUGUCUUUUAUGACUCAUUGCAGGAUAAUCACACAGAAAAUGCUUUGUUCAAGGGAGUAACUUUAACUAGAAUUCAU